GACGAACGCUGGCGGCGUGCUUAACACAUGCAAGUCGAACGAUGAAAGCUGGAGCUUGCUCCGGCUGGAUUAGUGGCGAACGGGUGAGUAACACGUGAGCAAUCUGCCCUUGACUCUGGGAUAACUCCGAGAAAUCGGUGCUAAUACCGGAUAUGACCCUUGGCGGCAUCGCUGGGGGUGGAAAGUUUUUCGGUCAAGGAUGAGCUCGCGGCCUAUCAGCUUGUUGGUGAGGUAAUGGCUCACCAAGGCGACGACGGGUAGCCGGCCUGAGAGGGUGACCGGGCACACUGGGACUGAGACACGGCCCAGACUCCUACGGGAGGCAGCAGUGGGGAAUAUUGCACAAUGGGCGCAAGCCUGAUGCAGCAACGCCGCGUGGGGGAUGACGGCCUUCGGGUUGUAAACCUCUUUUAGCAGGGAAGAAGCGAAAGUGACGGUACCUGCAGAAAAAGCACCGGCUAACUACGUGCCAGCAGCCGCAGUAA
rnacentral:rRNA from 1 species